rnacentral:tRNA from 1 species
GCCUGGCUGGCUCAGUCGGUGGAGCGUGGGACUCUUGAUCUCCGGGUCGUGAGUUUGAGCCUCAUGUUUGGUG